AAAAUAAGACAACUAAUGCAAAGCCUUCUCUCAACGAGGCCAAAGUGGAGAUAGUUGUGGCUUCUACUAAAUUAGGAGGAACGGAUCAGGACAGGGAUCAUGGUCAAGAAUCAGGACCAAGAAUAAGGACCCAGUAGCAGGGUCAGGACCAAGGACCAGCCCCUUGGAGCAGGACCGAGGAGCAGAACUGAAGAUCAGGACUGAGGAUCAGAAUCGAAGAUCAGGACCAAGGACUAGGACUGAGAGCAGACCAAGGAUCAGGACCGAGGUUCAGGACUGAGAGCAGGAUCCAGGAUCAUGUCCAAGACUCAGGACCGAGGAGCUGGACCGAGGAUCAGCACAGAGGACUAGGAUCAGGACCAAGGAGCAGGACCGAAGAUCAGGACCGAGCAUCAGGACCAAGGAUAAGGACCGAGGAUCAGGACCAAGGAUUAGGACUGAGAGCAGGACCAAGGUUCAGGGCCAAGGAGCAGGACUGCGAGCAGGAUCGAGACUCAGGACCGAGGACCAGGACCAUGUACCAGAUCAUGCAGAGGACUAAGGACCGAUCUUGACGAGACCAAUCCACUUCAAGAAAAGCCAGAUGGGAUUCAGCAGCCUCUCGCCAAAUAGAAGAUGUCCUGCCUCAAGAACAAUGCUGAGCCAACCGGUGGUGAAAUUGAGACAAGGGGAUUACCUGGCCAAGAUGGGUUUAUCGCGGUUGGAAAUGUUGUUGAGAUUUUGCAAACGAAAAAUGGGGUAUACGACCGAAGUGCGGUCGAUAAUCAAACGGGAGAUUUUCGUAAUGUGUGCAUAUAACUGUUUUGUGAAAUAAAGCGAAAUUUUAAAAUGCCAUAACUGUCUUAUUUUACA
rnacentral:lncRNA from 1 species